rnacentral:rRNA from 1 species
AUGAGGCGAGCCCUCCUAACCCUAAUCCACCGCUACUACCUCGACGCGCUCUCGCGGCUCCCCGCCGCCGGUCACUGCUACGGCCCUCUACACCCUGUCCACAACAUCAUCGUCAAUUCCGUCUGGUACUCUGCUGCUUUUCCCAUUCGCUCCAGUGACCGGAUAGAUACCGCCUUCAUCAGUAACUGUACCAUGCGCCGCCUUGUUCAGUGCUCGCUUGAUGGAUUGGUUGCCUCACUUCGCCAUCUCUGUCCUGGCCUCUCCGAUGACGAUGCCCUUUGGCACCUCAGUCUCUCCCGCGCCGACCUCCGUGCCCCUGUUGCCUCCGCGCGCGGUGCUGCCCUGUCGUCGUUCCGUCUGACGGCAUUGGAGCUGGAAGCCGCCUUUCAAGCGGCUGACAAGGCAGCACGGCAUCUGAAACCUGCGGCCCUUGCGCUCUUCGCUUCUUCCGUUGUGCUUUCUGUGGAACGUGACGCUGUCUCACUGCUCAACAACAAGCAUGAGCUGCCACACCCUCCUCUUGAAGAGCGGUUCACGGCGGCCUUUAAACUCAUCACUAGAAGGAGGAACUUUCUCAUAAGAUGGUACAAACGAUGGGUGGAAUUAGCGGAUGCAGCGUUGUGCAAGUAUGCCCAGCAAACUGCGGCACAUUAUCAGCUUCAUGUCAUCUAUGGCAUUGGUUCCGUGCACUAUGAGUUCAAUAUGGAUCAGUCUUUCCAUAUUAGUUUUAUGGCGUGGCCGAAGGAUCCUAACUGUGCUAAAGAAGCUCCUGUGUUUUUCUUUGCUGAAGCACUUCCGUCUGGCUCCGACUUUUGUGAAGAGGACAUCACCUUGUGCUGUACAGUACAGCCAUCACCAAGUGAAGUUGAUAGGUGCCAUGGAUGUCUUACCGGGAACUUCCAAAUUGACCACCCGGAUGAAUCUGAGAACUUUUCUGGUGGGCAGUACCAUAGUUGCCAUGUUUCCGGAUCGAGGGACGGCCUACCGUUCCCUGUUUCCGGCUACUAUGGGCAGUACUACACUUUGGAUGCCGAUGGAACAGUCAAAGACCUGGAUUGCCCCAUCAAAAGUGAUGCUGACUUCAGGUGUUUCGAUCCUGUCAGAGACAUUGGUUUCGUGGAGUACCUGGAUCAAGAGUUAACCAGUUACAUAUCCUCUUGGCCCUCCAGGCGCGUUCGUCGUUUUUACAGAGAAAACAUCGAUCAAGCUAUCUUGGACUACUGCAGCGGAAUUAUGUGA